rnacentral:rRNA from 1 species
GACGAACGCUGGCGGCGUGCUUAACACAUGCAAGUCGAACGAAGUGGCGAACGGGUGAGUAACGCGUAAUCAACCUGCCCUUCAGAGGGGGACAACAGUUGGAAACGACUGCUAAUACCGCAUACUGAAGGAGGGGAUUGCGUCUGAUUAGCUAGUUGGAGGGGUAACGGCCCACCAAGGCGAUGCUCAGUAGCCGUGCUGAUAGGAUGAACGGCCAAAUUGGGACUGAGAAACGGCCCAGAAUCCUACGGGAGGCAGCAGGGGGGAAUCUGUCGGAAUGGACGAAAGUCUGACGGAGGAACGCCGCGGGAGGGAUGACGGCCUUCGGGUUGUAAAGCUCUGUUAAUCGGGACGCGGUACCGGAAUAGAAAGCCACGGCUAACUACGUGCCAGCAGCCGCGGUAAUUC